UACGUAGGGUGCGAGCGUUUAAUCGGGAAUACUGGGCGUAAAGCGUGCGCAGGCGGUUCGCUGUGUCCCGAUGUGAAAGCCCCGGGCUUAACCUGGGAAUGGCAUUGGAAACUGGCGGGCUUGAGUGCGGGCAGAGGGGGUGGAAUUCCGCGUGUAGCAGUGAAAUGCGUAGAGAUGCGGAGGAACACCGAUGGCGAAGGCAGCCCCCUGGGUCGACACUGACGCUCGAGGCACGAAAGCGUGGGGAGCAAACAGG
rnacentral:rRNA from 1 species